AUGGCGGCCGUGACCCUGCUGGAGUCCGGGGGGGACCUCCAGCCCCCCGGGGGGUCCCUGCGCCUCCUCUGCCGAGGGUCCGGGUUCGAUUUCGGGAACUUUGGGAUGGGCUGGGUCCGCCAGAGCCGCGGGCAGGGGCUGGAAUACCUGGCAGCCAUCGACAGCAGCGGUGGUUCCACCGUGUACGCCUCAUCCGUCAGGGGCCGGGUGACGAUCUCCAGGGACAACGGGCAGAGCUCGGUGACGCUGACCAUGAACAGCCUCACGGACGAGGAUUCCGGAUCCUAUUUCUGUCGGAAGUGUUCUGGUGCUGGCUAUCCCAACGCUUAUGGUGUUUGGGCUCCGCCCCCAUGGCUGGGACCCCGCCUCCCCAGGUCAAAGCUCCACCCUUGA